UACGUAGGGUCCGAGCGUUGUCCGGAAUUACUGGGCGUAAAGAGCUCGUAGGUGGUUUGUCGCGUUGUUCGUGAAAACUCACAGCUCAACUGUGGGCGUGCGGGCGAUACGGGCAGACUGGAGUACUGCAGGGGAGACUGGAAUUCCUGGUGUAGCGGUGGAAUGCGCAGAUAUCAGGAGGAACACCGGUGGCGAAGGCGGUUCUCUGGGCCUGUACUGACGCUGAGGAGCGAAAGCGUGGGGAGCGAACAGG
rnacentral:rRNA from 1 species